CCGUUGCCGGCGACCGGCGCACGGGUGAGUAACACGUAUGCAACCUGCCCGUGGCAGGGGGAUAAGCGGGGGAAACCCCGUCUAAUACCGCGUAACGCGGCCUUGGGGCAUCCCAAGGCCGCCAAAGGGAGCAAUCCCGGCCACGGAUGGGCAUGCGGCGCAUUAGCUAGUCGGCGGGGUAACGGCCCACCGAGGCGACGAUGCGUAGGGGUUCUGAGAGGAAGGCCCCCCACACUGGUACUGAGACACGGACCAGACUCCUACGGAAGGCAGCAG
rnacentral:rRNA from 1 species